rnacentral:snoRNA from 1 species
AAGACUAUACUUUCAUUAAUUCUUUCUAUAGUUUAUGACUUGAGAAUUGUGUUUCUAAAGUGUAUGGUUUCACUGACCAUGAUGAAGAGUUGGGUGAUGCUCCUUUUUGAAUGUGAAGAAAGUAGAUACUUGGUUCAUCCAUGUUCUCUGCUACUGAUGACUGUUCACUGAUCUCAGUGGGAACUCAAGAAUUGU